CCUGAUCCAGCCAUGCCGCGUGAGUGAAGAAGGCCUUCGGGUUGUAAAGCUCUUUCAGAUGCGAAGAUGAUGACGGUAACAUCAGAAGAAGCCCCGGCUAAUUUCGUGCCAGCAGCCGCGGUAAUACACCGUGCCAGCAGCCGCGGUAAUACAA
rnacentral:rRNA from 1 species